GACGAACGCUGGCGGCGUGCUUAACACAUACAAGUCGAACGGAAAGGCCCUUCGGGGUACUCGAGUGGCGAACGGGUGAGUAACACGUGGGUGAUCUGCCCUGCACUUUGGGAUAAGCCUGGGAAACUGGGUCUAAUACCGAAUACACCCUUCUGGCUGCAUGGUCUGGGAGGGGAAAGCUUUUGCGGUGUGGGAUGGGCCCGCGGCCUAUCAGCUUGUUGGUGAGGUUACGGCGCACCAAGGCGACGACGGGUAGCCGGCCUGAGAGGGUGACCGGCCACACGGGGAGUGAGAUACGGCCCAGACUCCUGCGGGAGGCAGCAGUGGGGAAUAUUGCACAAUGGGCGCAAGCCUGAUGCAGCGACGCCGCGUGAGGGAUGACGGCCUUCGGGUUGUAAACCUCUUUCGCCAGGGACGAAGCGCAAGUGACGGUACCUGGAGAAGAAGGACCGGCCAACUACGUGCCAGCAGCCGCCGUAACAC
rnacentral:rRNA from 1 species